UUGCAAACACUUGGAGGGAUAGGACCAGAAAGUGAAUUGGUGGACACGUCAAGUUUCUGGAGCAAACCAUUUGAGCCAAGCAUAGGUGGGAGAAUCCCAGUAAGAGAAUUGUUAAAUAGCUGCAGAGUAUUGAGGGAUGGACCCAGUGAGCUCAUUAUCUGACAAAUCAAGAGCCGUGAGUGCUUUCAAAUUGCCUAAAGUUGACGGGACUUCACCAGUGAACCGAUUCUUGAACAGCAACAAUGUUUCCAGCAUGGUCAAGUUUCCUAGUUCUGGGAUCACAGAGCCAGAAAGAUUAGCAAAAGAGAUAUCUAAGUAUUUUAGACUAGACAAAGAGGUGAAUUCCACUGGUAUUCCUCCCGAAAACUGGUUGUAUCCAAUUUCCAAGCGUUCAAGCUGUGAUAAGAAGCCUAACUGAGGUGGUAUUAGACCUUCCAACAUAUUUCCAGCCAAAUGAAGAACCCUCAAUCUAGGGAAACUGCCGUAAGUUGAAGGAAUCCUAUCGCUGAAGUAGCUGCCGCCAAGGUUGAGCUGCUCAAGAAACCUGAGUCUGAUGAAUUCUUGAGGUAAAGGGCCAAUGAAGUUGUUGCUGUAAGCAUUGAAGAUUCUCAAGAACUUGAGCUUCGAAAUCCCAGGUGGGAAAGUUGAGUUGAAGGAGUUGUGGCUGAUAUCUAGAACCCUGAGCUCUGUGAGUUCAAAAACUGCUGCUUGGAAACUUCCACUGAAGUCAUUUCCACUUAGAUUCAAGUGGUUUAAGGUAGUCAAAUGCCUUAUUUCCGGUGAAAUUGUCCCUGAAAGGUUGCGAUGAGAGAGGUCAAUGGAGGUGAUUUUCGCAUUUUUUGAAUGGCAUGUGAUGCCUGACCAUGAACACCAAACUGGAUCCUGGAAAUUGGAAUUUGAGAAGGUAGAAGAAGCGUCCCAGUCAUGGAGUGUAUUUAGAGGGUCUUUGAUGGAAGAUUUGAGUGAAAGUAGAGAGAUGAGCUGGAGUGGUGGAGUUGAAGAAGCAGAGAAGACUAGGUAUAUUUGGCAGAAGAAGGAGAAUGUGAGAAAGAGAAGAAAAGAUUUCAUGGUUUUUGGGCUGUGGUGAGUGAGAGUAGUGUGGUGUCUAGGGAGGUAAAUUUAAGGGAAUGAAGGUUUGGAUGAGGAAGAGGAUUGCUUUUUUGGAGUGCUGGGUGGAGAGGGAGUUUCAUGAUGAUGAUUUUCUUCAGUGGGUUUUGUUGGUGGACAUGAAAGAGAGAUGGAGAGAGAGAAUGAACUUCUUCUACUCCAUCUUCUCUAUCCCUCUCUACUCAAUACUACUCUCCACUACAAGUAGUCUUCUUUAUUUGCGGUGCAGCCUAAGUUCUCACUUUCACUCUCCUAGAUUUCUCUCUUUUCUUUCUUUAUUUUGCCUCAGUAUUAUACCUUUGUCUGUACACAACACUACUGUUUAUUUUCUUGGAAUUCUUUUCCACCUUUUCUUUUUUGCUCCCACUUUUCAUCAUUCCCUUGCUUCCUUUUCCUUUGGCUAACAAAUUGGUAAAUAUGCCAAACAGUGAUCAUUGUCUCUCGCAGGAUCCAAGAAAGACAUAUCAAAUUCCCACCAUAUUCCCUUCCCCCCAUACUACUAUUUUAAAAUAACCCCAGUUUUCUUUUGCUUUCGUUAUCUAUUUCUUGUUUGGCCAAAUUAAAAAUCCUCUGUAUUUUUCGUUUCCAGAUAGGCUUUAGUUUGGAAGUCGUUCUUGUAUUGUAGUAUCUGAUCACGUAUGUUUAUCCACUGGUAUUUACUUUUAUUUACUCCCAUUUCUUGUGUAGACUUCAAUUUCCAUGAACUUGAGAAGCAUUGAUAAAAUAAAUCAAAAUUUGCACGACAAAUAUAUAGCAUUUCAUCAUAA